rnacentral:rRNA from 1 species
UACGUAGGUGACAAGCGUUGUCCGGAUUACUGGGCGUAAAGAGCGCGCAGGCGGUCGUUCAAGUCGAGUGUGAAAGCCCCCCGGCUCAAACUGGGGGAGGGUCAUUCGAUACUGAUCGACUCGAAGGCAGGAGAGGGAAGUGGAAUUCCCGGUGUAGUGGUGAAAUGCGUAGAUAUCGGGGAGGAACACCAGUGGCGAAGGCGGCCACCUGGACGGUAACUGACGCUGAGACGGCGAAAAGCGUGGGGAGCAAACAGG